rnacentral:sRNA from 1 species
AAAAGAACUUUGGAGAGAGAGUCAAAAAGACCGCGAAACCGUUAGGAGGGAAACGAAUGCGGCUGAAGUGGCUCCUCGUCAGGCUCAGGAGACGUCGCGGAGGUCCUCGCGGCCGCCCGACAACUCUGCACUUCUGCGGGGAGCCGGCCAACGACGGUUCUCUCCGGCCCAGGAGGGCGCUGGGGCAGGUGGCUCCGCGUUCGCGUGGGGAACUUAUAGCCCGGCGUCUGGACGUUUCGGGGAGGACCGAGGAGAGUUGCGAGUCUCGCACGUUGCAGCGCAGGCCCCCCCGGGGGCUGGGCCGCUUCCGUUCGGCAGGCCGCCGAGGCCGUCACUGCUCCGUCGGUGGCGUCUUACGGUUCUGGCAGGUCGGGCGGGAGGCCGGUCGCACCUUGCGCUGCGGUCGUUGGUGCCCGGAUGGCCGCAUCCGACCCGUCUUG